GUCCCAAGUUCUUGAUUAUUAUUCUCUGUACCUGUGAAACGAAACAACUAAUCUGGAGUUUUUCAACACUAGGAGUCAGAAAAGUUCUCGAGACAAAAUUAAUGCACUUACAAGCCCUGGAGUUGGUAAAAUGUUCAUGGAGAAAAGUACUUUUGUUGAAUGAUUCACAAAUUGGUAACUUACUUAGAAGUCCUUCGCGGCCAUUGUUUGUAGCAGCAGAGUUGGGAAAUUUUGAGUUCAUAGUAGAGCUUAUUCAGUCUUAUCCAGAUCUCAUCUGGAAGGUUGAUGAGGAAAGUCGGAGCAUCUUUCACAUUGCUGUCAUUCAUCGACAAGAAAAGGUCUACAAACUAAUCUACAACAUAGGAUCACACAAAGAUAUCAUCACGUCCUACAAAAGCACAAAUAAUGAGAACAUUUUACACUUGGCUGCAAAGCUAGCUCCUAUAAAUCGACUUGGUAUUGU
rnacentral:lncRNA from 1 species